UCUGUUUGGAACACUCAUGAAACAUUCAAGAACAGGCAAGCUGACUCAGAGAGAGGAGGUUGGGGAAUGAGGGUGAUACCUUCUCCUUGGGCUUCCCUCUCACCCCGCCUUGGACCUGGUAACCCUCCUGCAGGUUCCACUGCAGACAAUUCAUUUGUUCAGACUGCCUGUGAACUUCCAGGCACAGGGCAGACUAAUGGGAAAGGAGGGCAGGCAGAAUGAAGCUGAUGGUAAUCUGGUGGCGCCGAGGAAGGAGUAUGGGCUGUGGAGAGGCAACUUCCUCAGAUUCUCACUUCUGGCCAAGAUGGAGUAAUAGAGAUGGAAUUUAGUUUCCCAUGUGAAACACCAGCAAAAGGACCACAGAGGCAAUAGAAAACAGUGAUGCCUGAUGGAGAGAAAACAAGCUAGCUGCUGUGUCAUGUCAGGUUGUGUUAGUCACCCUGACCUACGUCUAUCUGGGACUCCGUGAGAAAGAAUCACAACAAACUGGAGAGAAUCCACGUAGACUUUUAAAAAAUGAGACAAUGGAGUACAUCCUUCUGAAUCCUCCAUGACAUGAAACAAACAAACAAAAGCCAGGGCAAAUGAAGAAAAAAAUGCAAAUUUUAUAGUCUCAUCGAAAACUUCCAUUUUCCUCUUCCUGAUGAUAGUAUUUUGAAAGUGCAGUCGCUUGAAACCAUGGUCAGCCUAACCAGCUUCAGUCACCCACCCUGCCCUGUGGCCAUAGUGAUCCAACACUGGCAACAGCAUAUAUAUGCUUGUGAAAUUAACAUUUGUUAUGUUCUGCAGUUCUCAUUAUUUUCCUCUUGGCUGCAUCUUUCUCAUUGGGAAGUUACAUGACAACUUUAUCCAAUCCAAGUUCACACAAGCACUCUUCAAGCACACCAAAAUUUAUGGGUUAUAAAUACACAGAAAUACCUUCACACUGGGUUCCUUUAAUUCUUGAAUAGCCUUUGCCACAUAUGGGAUCUGUAAAAAAGCAAAAAAAAAAAAAAAAAAUCAAAAAA